GAUGAACGCUGGCGGCGUGCUUAACACAUGCAAGUCGAACGGAAAGGCUCCUGCUUGCAGGGGUACUCGAGUGGCGAACGGGUGAGUAACACGUGGGUGAUCUGCCCUGCACUUCGGGAUAAGCCUGGGAAACUGGGUCUAAUACCGGAUAGGACGAUGGUUUGGAUGCCAUUGUGGAAAGUUUUUUCGGUGUGGGACGAGCUCGCGGCCUAUCAGCUUGUUGGUGGGGUAAUGGCCUACCAAGGCGUCGACGGGUAGCCGGCCUGAGAGGGUGUACGGCCACAUUGGGACUGAGAUACGGCCCAGACUCCUACGGGAGGCAGCAGUGGGGAAUAUUGCACAAUGGGCGCAAGCCUGAUGCAGCGACGCCGCGUGGGGGAUGACGGCCUUCGGGUUGUAAACUCCUUUCGCUAGGGACGAAGCGCAAGUGACGGUACCUGGAGAAGAAGCACCGGCUAACUACGUG
rnacentral:rRNA from 1 species